UUUUAAGGUGUUCMUAGGAGGGAUUUAAUUCGAGAAAUUAUUGCAAGUCGGUACCAAAGACUGGUCUUAAGACACCAUUUCGAGAUGGUUUGCUAAGGCAUGUUGCRGAAGAUGUCCUAAAGUUGGCCAAGGAUGGCCUGGAAAGAAGAGGCUACAAAGAAACAGGGUUCUUGAAGGAAGUGGCUGAGGUAGUUARCACAGGUGUAACACCAGCUGAGAAGCUUUUGGAAUUAUACCAUGGGAGGUGGGGUCAAUGUGUCGAUCCUGUUUUUGAGGAGCUUCUAUAUUGAGGCGAGCUGAGGUUACU